rnacentral:rRNA from 1 species
AUUGAACGCUGGCGGCAGGCCUAACACAUGCAAGUCGAACGAGUGGCGGACGGGUGAGUAAUGUCUGGGAAACUGCCCGAUGGAGGGGGAUAACUACUGGAAACGGUAGCUAAUACCGCAUACCAUCGGAUGUGCCCAGAUGGCAUUCGCUAGUAGGUGGGGUAACGGCUCACCUAGGCGAAGAUCCCUAGCUGGUCUGAGAGGAAGACCAGCCACACUGGAACUGAGACACGGUCCAGACGCCUACGGGAGGCAGCAGUUGGGAAUAUUGCACAAUUGGCGCAAGCCUGAUGCAGCAACGCCGCGUGUAUGAAGAAGGCCUUCGGGUUGUAAAGUACUUUCAGCGAGGAGGCGGUACUCGAAGAAGAAGCACCGGCUAACUCCGUGCCAGCAGCCGCGGUAAUAG